rnacentral:rRNA from 1 species
GAUUUUUAUAUAUUAUUUAAUCGAAUAAAAAUUAGUUAUUUAUUAUUUUAGAUUGAUUAUAUAUUUUAUUGGGGUAAUAUUAAAAUUUAAAUAAUUUUUAAUUAAGGUUAAACAAUUAUUAGUGAUUUAGUGAUCCAGUAAUAUUGAUUAAAAGAAUAAGUUACCUUAGGGAUAACAGCAUAAUGAUUUUUGAGAGUUCUUAUUGAUAAAAUAGUUUGU